GAUGAACGCUGGCGGCGUGUCUAAUACAUGCAAGUCGAGCGAACAGAUGAGGAGCUUGCUCCUCUGACGUUAGCGGCGGACGGGUGAGUAACACGUGGAUAACCUACCUAUAAGACUGGGAUAACUUCGGGAAACCGGAGCUAAUACCGGAUAAUAUAUUGAACCGCAUGGUUCAAUAGUGAGAGACGGUUUUGCUGUCACUUAUAGAUGGAUCCGCGCCGCAUUAGCUAGUUGGUAAGGUAACGGCUUACCAAGGCAACGAUGCGUAGCCGACCUGAGAGGGUGAUCGGCCACACUGGAACUGAGACACGGUCCAGACUCCUACGGGAGGCAGCAGUAGGGAAUCUUCCGCAAUGGGCGAAGGCCUGACGGAGCAACGCCGCGUGAGUGAUGAAGGUCUUCGGAUCGUAAAACUCUGUUAUUAGGGAAGAACAAAUGUGUAAGUAACUAUGCACGUCUUGACGGUACCUAAUCAGAAAGCCACGGCUAACUACGUG
rnacentral:rRNA from 1 species